ACGUACACUCCUACGGGAGGCAGCAGUGGGGAAUAUUGGACAAUGGGCGCAAGCCUGAUCCAGCCAUGCCGCGUGAGUGAUGAAGGCCCUAGGGUUGUAAAGCUCUUUCACCGGAGAAGAUAAUGACGGUAUCCGGAGAAGAAGCCCCGGCUAACUUCGUGCCAGCAGCCGCGGUAAUACGAAGGGGGCUAGCGUUGUUCGGAAUUACUGGGCGUAAAGCGCACGUAGGCGGAUCGAUCAGUCAGGGGUGAAAUCCCAGGGCUCAACCCUGGAACUGCCUUUGAUACUGUCGAUCUGGAGUAUGGAAGAGGUGAGUGGAAUUCCGAGUGUAGAGGUGAAAUUCGUAGAUAUUCGGAGGAACACCAGUGGCGAAGGCGGCUCACUGGUCCAUUACUGACGCUGAGGUGCGAAAGCGUGGGGAGCAAACAGGAUUAGAAACCCUGGUAGUCCCAUGA
rnacentral:rRNA from 1 species